UAGUGGAGGAAGUGAUUAUGAGGAGAAAAUAAUAUCAAGUUCAGGGAGAAGGGAAAUUCAUAAAGUAAGAAAAACGAUGACAAGGAAAAUGCCGUGACCUGUGAUGAUACAGAAAAUGACAGUAAAGUCUUGGAUAAUGAUGAAAAGAAAAAUGCUUUUGGCAUCAGAUGUUAACAGAGUGUGCAGAAUCAGAAUAAUGGCACCGUGAAAGAAUAACUUUGGGGAAGCAUGAUACUUUAAAGUAUCACAAAAGGUUGCCUCUUUGCUAGAACAUCAUAUUUGUUUUGUCAGAUCUGCUUCUGUACAAACUGUUCAUCCUAGUCUCAUUUCCCAACUUGAAAAAAUGAUGCAGGUUAACUGAGCUAGGUAAGACUUGACUUUAGAAGACAGUUCCAUCUCUGCUGCCCUGCCACCAGUGCUCUUAGUGUGAAGUAUAUGAAACCAAAGCCCACAAAUCCCAAGCCUGUUAGGCUAAGAACUAAUGAAAGAGGGAUUCUUGAGGAAGCAAACUUGGAGAAAAAACUUGCCCCUCUGAAAGAAAUUACAACAGCUCCAACGCCUCUGGUUAGAAACUCAGAAAGAAUAUUUAAAAAUGUAUACCUGAAAAAUUAAAAAGUCCAUGGAAAAAGUGAACCCAACUAUGAUGUGCAUGAAGAUGGUGAAAGGAAGGUGGACAGAACAACAAACAAUGAUCAAUUUGUAAG